UCUCUACUCAAAAGCAUAUGUUAAGAAGCUUUAUUUCGGUUACCACUUGGCAUUGCUUCAAAAUAAACAUUCAUGUUGUACUUGCAGGAUCCUAACACUAUUCCCAUGAAGUUAAUCAGCAGAUAGUACCUGUCACAAGAGGACGAGUGAUCUGUCACAGGGUUAAUGAGGCUCUUGCUGAAGAUCAACUAUGUCUGGAGAAUGGUUUUCGCAGAGUCUGAAAGCUCGUCUCACCUAUUUUGUUGUACCUUGCCUUCAGACUGGAAGAAGUAUGACAAAUGAAGAUGUCAUUUCCUAUACGCUUACAUAGUUCAGUAGAAUCCAGAUUUAUUUGCUUUUAGAUAGUACUGCAAAAUAAUGAAAACUACCUACAAAGUGACAGAGAAAAUAACCUGAAAAAUAUAUCUUAUUUCUGAUUUUAAGAAUGAAAUGAUUGUAUGGCCAGUGGAUGCAUAAGUAUGCCUAUCCUCUAUUUAGUUUUCUUUCUGAUACUCAGAUGCUGUUCUUUAUUUUUAAUCUGGUGGUCCUGAUGUGGUUCUAUAUUUCUGUCAGAAUAAGAUUCUCUUAAUUGUGUUAAUAAAAAAUUGUUUAGUUUCA
rnacentral:lncRNA from 1 species